rnacentral:rRNA from 1 species
UACGUAGGGACCAAGCGUUGUUCGGAUUUACUGGGCGUAAAGGGCGCGUAGGCGGCCACGACAAGUCACUUGUGAAAUCUCCGGGCUUAACUCGGAAAGGUCAAGUGAUACUGUCGGGCUAGAGUACAGAAGGGGCAACUGGAAUUCUCGGUGUAGCGGUGAAAUGCGUAGAUAUCGAGAGGAACACCUGCGGCGAAGGCGGGUUGCUGGGCUGAUACUGACGCUGAUGCGCGAAAGCCAGGGGAGCGAACGGG